rnacentral:rRNA from 1 species
UACGAAGGGGGCUAGCGUUGUUCGGAAUUACUGGGCGUAAAGCGCACGUAGGCGGAUAUUUAAGUCAGGGGUGAAAUCCCGGGGCUCAACCCCGGAACUGCCUUUGAUACUGGGUAUCUAGAGUAUGGUAGAGGUAAGUGGAAUUCCGAGUGUAGAGGUGAAAUUCGUAGAUAUUCGCAAGAACACCAGUGGCGAAGGCGGCUCACUGGCCCGAUACUGACGCUGAGGCACGAAAGCGUGGGGAGCAAACAGG